AUACGUAGGGGGCGAGCGUUGUCCGGAAUGAUUGGGCGUAAAGGGCGCGUAGGCGGCCCGGUAAGUCUGGAGUGAAAGUCCUGUUUUUAAGAUGGGAAUUGCUUUGGAUACUGUCGGGCUUGAGUGCAGGAGAGGUAAGUGGAAUUCCCAGUGUAGCGGUGAAAUGCGUAGAGAUUGGGAGGAACACCAGUGGCGAAGGCGACUUACUGGGCCGUAACUGACGCUGAGGCGCGAAAGCGUGGGGAGCGAACAGGAUUAGAUACCCUGGUAGUCCACACUGUAAACGAUGAAUGCUAGGUGUAAGAGGUAUCGACCCCUUUUGUGCCGGAGUCAACACAAUAAGCAUUCCGCCUGGGGAGUACGGCCGCAAGGUUGAAACUUAAAGGAAUUGACGGGG
rnacentral:rRNA from 1 species